GCAAUAGCUCAGUUGGUUAGAGUGUGGUCUGAUAAUGCCAAGGUCUGAGGUUUGAUUCCCAAAUGGGACAGCUGCA